GGGGAUUUAGCUCAGUGGUAGAGCGCUUGCCUAGCAAGUGCAAGGCCUUGGGUUCAGUCCCCA
rfam:Rattus norvegicus chromosome 19, whole genome shotgun sequence.